rnacentral:rRNA from 1 species
UACGAAGGGGGCUAGCGUUGUUCGGAUUUACUGGGCGUAAAGCGCACGUAGGCGGAUCGUUAAGUCGGGGGUGAAAUCCUGGAGCUCAACUCCAGAACUGCCUUCGAUACUGGCGAUCUUGAGUCCGGAAGAGGUGAGUGGAACUCCUAGUGUAGAGGUGGAAUUCGUAGAUAUUAGGAAGAACACCGGUGGCGAAGGCGGCAUUCUGGACCGAUAUUGACGCUGAGGAGCGAAAGCCAGGGGAGCAAACGGG